ACUCCUACGGGAGGCAGCAGUAGGGAAUCUUCCACAAUGGACGAAAGUCUGAUGGAGCAACGCCGCGUGACUGAAGAAGUAUUUCGGUAUGUAAAGGUCUAUCAGCAAGGAAGAGGAGAGACGGUACUUGACUAAGAAGCCCCGGCUGACUACGUGCCAGCAGCCGCGGUAAUAC
rnacentral:rRNA from 1 species